rnacentral:rRNA from 1 species
UUGCUCUUGGGUGAGAGUGGCGGACGGGUGAGUAAUGUCUGGGGAUCUGCCCGAUAGAGGGGGAUAACCACUGGAAACGGUGGCUAAUACCGCAUAACGUCGCAAGACCAAAGAGGGGGACCUUCGGGCCUCUCACUAUCGGAUGAACCCAGAUGGGAUUAGCUAGUAGGCGGGGUAAUGGCCCACCUAGGCGACGAUCCCUAGCUGGUCUGAGAGGAUGACCAGCCACACUGGAACUGAGACACGGUCCAGACUCCUACGGGAGGCAGCAGUGGGGAAUAUUGCACAAUGGGCGCAAGCCUGAUGCAGCCAUGCCGCGUGUAUGAAGAAGGCCUUCGGGUUGUAAAGUACUUUCAGCGGGGAGGAAGGCGAUGGGGUUAAUAACCUUAUCGAUUGACGUUACCCGCAGAAGAAGCACCGGCUAACUCCGUGCCAGCAGCCGCGGUAAUACGGAGGGUGCAAGCGUUAAUCGGAAUUACUGGGCGUAAAGCGCACGCAGGCGGUCUGUUAAGUCAGAUGUGAAAUCCCC